GAUGAACGCUGGCGGCGUGCCUAAUACAUGCAAGUCGAGCGAACAGACGAGGAGCUUGCUCCUCUGACGUUAGCGGCGGACGGGUGAGUAACACGUGGAUAACCUACCUAUAAGACUGGGAUAACUUCGGGAAACCGGAGCUAAUACCGGAUAAUAUAUUGAACCGCAUGGUUCAAUAGUGAAAGACGGUUUUGCUGUCACUUAUAGAUGGCUCCGCGCCGCAUUAGCUAGUUGGUAAGGUAACGGCUUACCAAGGCAACGAUGCGUAGCCGACCUGAGAGGGUGAUCGGCCACACUGGAACUGAGACACGGUCCAGACUCCUACGGGAGGCAGCAGUAGGGAAUCGUCCGCAAUGGGCGAAAGCCUGACGGAGCAACGCCGCGUGAGUGAUGAAGGUCUUCGGAUCGUAAAACUCUGUUAUUAGGGAAGAACAAAUGUGUAAGUAACUAUGCACGUCUUGACGGUACCUAAUCAGAAAGCCACGGCUAACUACGUG
rnacentral:rRNA from 1 species